rnacentral:rRNA from 1 species
GAUGAACGCUGGCGGCGUGCCUAAUACAUGCAAGUCGAGCGAACGGACGAGAAGCUUGCUUCUCUGAUGUUAGCGGCGGACGGGUGAGUAACACGUGGAUAACCUACCUAUAAGACUGGGAUAACUUCGGGAAACCGUAGCUAAUACCGGAUAAUAUUUUGAACCGCAUGGUUCAAAAGUGAAAGACGGUCUUGCUGUCACUUAUAGAUGGAUCCGCGCUGCAUUAGCUAGUUGGUAAGGUAACGGCUUACCAAGGCAACGAUGCAUAGCCGACCUGAGAGGGUGAUCGGCCACACUGGAACUGAGACACGGUCCAGACUCCUACGGGAGGCAGCAGUAGGGAAUCUUCUGCAAAGGGCGAAAGCCUGACGGAGCAACGCCGCGUGAGUGAUGAAGGUCUUCGGAUCGUAAAACUCUGUUAUUAGGGAAGAACAUAUGUGUAAGUAACUGUGCACAUCUUGACGGUACCUAAUCAGAAAGCCACGGCUAACUACGUG